rnacentral:lncRNA from 1 species
AUGAAGGUCUGAGUGACUGGCUUUGGCUAUGCAGGGCUCCUGGCUGCCUUCACCUCUUGGUAAAGUGGAUACUGUUGCCAUGAAUGACCUCUCAUUGACUACAAAGACAAGGUGUUCCAGUGCAGUUCUAGCCAUGGCAUACUCCACAGCAAUCAAGGCUCAGGAUGGGAAACUCAAAGGGAAGGCCAUUUCCACCUUCCCGCAGUGACACUCCACCAUCAAAUGAGGUGAUGACAGUGUGGAAUAUGUUAUGGAGUCUACUGGCAUCUUUACCACCAUGGUGAACAAAGCCCACUUGAAGGGUGGAGCUGAAAGUGUCAUCACCUCUGCCCCUUCUGCUGAUCAUGUUUGUGAUGGGUGUGAACCAUGAGAAGUAUGACUAGCUCAAGACUGUCAGUAACACCUCUUGCAUCACCAACUGUUUAACCCCCACACCUAGCACCAUCAAGGGACUUAUGAUCACAAUUCAAACCAUCACAACUCAGAGGACCAUAAAUGUUUUAGGCCACAGGACUGCCUAAAGUAUCCUUAUAUCCACUGGCACUGCUAAGGGUGUAGACAUGCUCAUCCCAGAGCUAAAUGGGUAACACAUUGGUUUGGCCGCCUGUGUUCCAUCCCGCAGUGUGUCCAUUGUGGAUCUAAGAAGCCAUAUGCUCCAUAUACGAUGACAUCGAUAAAGUGAACACGUGAAGGGCACCCUGGGCUGAGGACAAGACUGUCUCCAUGAUCCCACCUUUGAUGCGGGAUCUGCGUCA